CCCUUAGACGUUCUGGGCCGCACGCGCGCUACACUGACCAGUGCAACAAGCAUCCGUCCUUGGCCGACAGGCUCGGGCAAUCUUUGAACGCUGGUCGUGAUGGGGAUAGACUUUUGCAAUUUUUGGUCUUCAACGAGGAAUUCCUAGUAAACGCAAGUCAUCAACUUGCAUUGAUUACGUCCCUGCCCUUUGUACACACCGCCCGUCGCACCUACCGAUUGAAUGGUCCGGUGAAGCCUCCGGAUUGGCGCGCGCCUCGGUGCCGCCGAGAAGUUGGCUAAACCUUACCAUUUAGAGGAAGGUGAAGUCGUAACA
rnacentral:rRNA from 1 species